rnacentral:sRNA from 1 species
ACUCAAUUAAAGAGCAUGCAUUGUUGACCGGUUUGAACUGCCGUGAGUACCCAAAAUACUAUAAGACUUUAGGCAGUUUGAAGUUUGUUGAGAAGUUGUUUAAGAGGACUGAAGACAUCAAGAUUAAAGACGUGGAAGAGAAGCUGGAAGAGUUUAAGAGUGAGAAGUCUACUGCUAGGUUGAAGUUGGCAAUUCUGUUAUUCUUAGCUAAGGUUAUGAAAGCUGAUUCUAAAGGGGAUUCGAAGAUAGAGGAGUUGCUUCUUAGGAUUGUGGAUAAUGUCAGAGCUUGUGAGACAUUCCCGUGGGGACGUUUUUCCUUUGAGAAGUGUAUGGAAGGGGUGCGGAGAGUAAUGAAGAACAUGAAAGGUGUGGUGAAACCCAAGGCACAGACUGCUUUUUAUGGAUUUAUUACUCCAGGUAAGUAGUCGAGUAAAUUAUAUGAGUGGCUAGAUUUUGUUAUUGUGAACUUGCAUUUACUUUUAUGUUUUUGUGUCUAGAUUCUUAC